rnacentral:rRNA from 1 species
GAUCAACGCUGGCGGCGCACAUAAGACAUGCAAGUUGAACGGACUUAAUCGAAAUAUUUCUAUUUUGAAGCGGUUAGUGGCGGACUGGUGAGUAACGCGUAAGGAACCUGCCUAUUAGAGGGGAAUAACAGUGAGAAAUCAUUGCUAAUACCGCAUAUGCCAUAGAUAUCACAUGAUAACAGUGGGAAAUGAGCAAUCCGCUAAUAGAUGGCCUUGCGUCUGAUUAGAUAGUUGGUGGGGUAACGGCCUACCAAGUCGACGAUCAGUAGCCGGACUGAGAGGUUGAACGGCCACAUUGGGACUGAGAUACGGCCCAGACUCCUACGGGAGGCAGCAGUCGGGAAUAUUGCGCAAUGGAGGAAACUCUGACGCAGUGACGCCGCGUAUAGGAAGAAGGUUUUCGGAUUGUAAACUAUUGUCGUUAGGGAAGAGAAAGGACAGUACCUAAGGAGGAAGCUCCGGCUAACUACGUG